CACGAGGCUGGCUGGUUUUGGAGGACGCAGCGGCGCAGGUUAUCUUGAGGCGGCCGUAUCGGAGGUUAUUGGGAGGAGUAGUCGGAGCGGUGAGAAGUCGGAGAGAAGACGGAGAAGAGGUGGCGGAAGGCUUCAGAAAGGUAACCGAUUCAGCGGAGAAGAAAGUGGUGGAGGAAGAAAUCGCCAUUGGAAGCUGCUCUGAGAGGAGGGAAAGGAGAGUGUUUAGGGAAGGUUUAUCCUUUCAAUUUUGGGGAUUGGUAUAUGAUAUUUGAAGUGAAAGAGAUAAGAAAACUGACCAGUGGGGGGUAUUUUGGGCAAUGUCCAUGUGACUCCCGUUUCGAAGUUUUGAGCGGGCUCACUUAAAACCCCGGCAUCAUCACUUGCACUACCCAAAAUGCCCCCAAUGGUCUUUUCCACACUAAACCCCCACAAAAAAACUUCGAAUGGAUAAUCUUCACAAAAACCCCUCUUCCUCUCCUCAGUCCUCUCAGAGCAGCUGUCAAUGGCGAUUUCUCCAUCCACCUUCUUCUCCCCGGAAUCGGUUAACUUUCUCAUGUCUUCCGCCACCUCUCCUCCCUCUCCUCUCCGUCUUCUUGCCCCGUCUCCUC
rnacentral:lncRNA from 1 species